ACGAACGCUGGCGGCAUGCCUAACACAUGCAAGUCGAACGCCUGUAGCAAUACAGGAGUGGCGCACGGGUGAGUAACGCGUGGGAACCUGCCUAGUGGUAAGGAAUAACCGCGGGAAACUGCGGCUAAUACCUUAUGAGCCCUACGGGGGAAAGAUUUAUCGCCAUUAGAGGGGCCCGCGUCCGAUUAGCUAGUUGGUGAGGUAACGGCUCACCAAGGCUCCGAUCGGUAGCUGGUCUGAGAGGAUGAUCAGCCACACUGGGACUGAGACACGGCCCAGACUCCUACGGGAGGCAGCAGUGGGGAGUAUUGGACAAUGGGGGCAACCCUGAUCCAGCAAUGCCGCGUGAGUGAUGAAGGCCUUAGGGUUGUAAAGCUCUUUCGACGGGGAAGAUGAUGACGGUACCCGUAGAAGAAGCCCCGGCUAACUUCGU
rnacentral:rRNA from 1 species